CCGUUUCGGUGGUCCUCUAUCAAACCUUUUCCACUGCGCUCAGCACCACGCACACGCAUGGAUAAUAAUUAUGUUGAGUCGGCUGGUCGAGCUGUGCUCGAAAUGAUGCAGGGUGAAUGGGAGCCUCUUUCUCAAGACGAACUGGAGCAACGAUUGGACCGAGCAGUGGAAGAAAUUCUGGAAGCUGACCUCCUAGCAAAGGUUCAGGACCAGCCUGGACCAAUCUACCUCCUACUGUCUCAGCUGGUGGAAGAACCUCAACAGCAAAACCAAAUUCGGUCAACAACAGAACCUACAACACUUCCUCAUGUAGAAGAGGAGUCUGAAUCUCAACAGUUAACUGAUGCUGAGGAAAACGCUGCAGUUCAGUACAUUACAGAUCUCCUCCAGAAUUCAAACUCAAGAUACAAUCAGAGCCGUAUGGCAGGACGUGCCCGCUUAUCCCUGUCCCUCACCCUCCUCUCCAAGCGCCUCAGCUAUCGCUCUGUCGACCAGUUUCCGCCUGAAAAAAGGAAACAUUCAUAGGAUCUUCUUUUCCUUUUGUGAGCGUGUGGGGACCAACAAAUUAGAUGGCCGACUGGUAUGUAGACUGCUGUUCAAUGUGGAUCAAUUACAAGUGUUAUACAAACUUUUUCAGCAGGGACCCCAUUUUAUCCGCCAGUAUUUCUGGGGACCCCAUUUUCCCCCCAAUAAUUUCUUGCCACCCCAAAUCAGAUGACAACCUUAAAAUCAGUCAAUUUAGAUUUUUACAUCAACAAAUAACCUUCAAUUAAUUGCAUUAAUUUCAAAUGAAAAGGCAUCAAUACAUUUACUCAAGAAAUGUUUUCUUUCUCAAAAACGUUUGUAAAAUGUCCCAUACAAUUUUUGGGGGGGGUGACCUCACUGCACUCCAGCCUCUGCCCAGAUAUUGACCCCGUACGUAGUGGGUCGUGGCCCCAGGGGAAAUCUUUACAACAGGUCCCUGGAAGCCCAUUUUUACCUCCUAGACCAGGCUGUGGCUGACCUGAAAGCCAGGUUUGAAAGGCUCAGGUAUUUGGACAUGGGGAACUAUGAAAGAGCCAAAGCAGUUGUCCUUACUGCUUGCAUACUCCACAAUGUAUUUCUGGACAUGGGGGAAGUGGUCAACGGAUAGGUUGAGAGGGAGGCAGGGACACAGGAGGGAGAGGGGGAGGGUGAUGAGGAGAAGGGAAGCCAUCGCAGAUUUGCUGUACAAAGAGUUGGAUUCUGGAAGUACAUAAAGUGAUUUAUAAUUUUUGUGUUUGUAUUGAGAUAAACAGCAUUUAUAUUUUAUAUUUUAUUAAAAGGAAGAGUAUCACAGCAAUAUCUUGUAUUUUAUACAUAUGUAGGAUUAUUUGUAUCCUAUGGCAGAUCUAUGUACAAUAUGCCCUGUGUAGCCUUCUUCUCAUUCACAGAUAUUACAGGGAAUUCCUACAGUGAACUCCUUUGUCAAAUGGUGUUAUUACAGCAUAAUAAAAACGUAUACAAUGAAAAAUCA